CGUCUCUGACGAUCCCCGCCGUUCUCUCCGGCGACAUGCCCAGGUAGUCCCGAUCCUCAAGGCUACGGCGUGAUGAUGUCAUUGCGUUGAUCGACCCGCUCGCAUCGCGUCCCGCCGGCGAGCACUCACCCGCACAGGUGAUGGACGC
rfam:Acidomonas methanolica NBRC 104435 DNA, contig: Amme_059.